rnacentral:rRNA from 1 species
AGUGGCGGACGGGUGAGUACAACUUAGGAAUCUGCCUAGUAGCUGGGGAUAACUUUAAGAAAUUGAAGCUAAUACCGAAUACGCCCUACGGGGGAAAGCGGGGGAUCUUCGGACCUCGCACUAUUAGAUGAGCCUAAGCCGGAUUAGCUAGUUGGUGGGGUAAAGGCCUACCAAGGCGACGAUCCGUAGCUGGUCUGAGAGGACGAUCAGCCACACUGGGACUGAGACACGGCCCAGACUCCUACGGGAGGCAGCAGUCGGGAAUAUUGGACAAUGGGGGCAACCCUGAUCCAGCAAUGCCGCGUGUGUGAAGAAGGCCUGCAGGUUGUAAAGCACUUUCAAAUGUGAAGAAGGGUGCGGAGUUAAUACCUUCGUACAUUGACGUUAACAUUAGAAGAAGCACCGGCUAAUUUAGUGCCAGCAGCCGCGGUAAUACUAAAGGUGCGAGCGU